UGAGCUAACGNGGUAUGUAAUUUACCUUUUGCUGGGGAAUAGCAGCAAGAAAUUCUGAUUANUACUCCAUAAUAUAAAGUUUCUGCAUGGAACCUUUAUUAAAGCUUAAGUGGCAAGAGAUGAGCCUGCGUCUGAUNAGGUUAGUUGGUANAGGUAAUGGCUCAACCAAGACUAUGAUCAGUNGGGGAUCUAAGAGGGUAACCCUCCACACUGGAACUGANACAAGGACCAGACUUCUACGGAAGGCAGCAGUGAGGAAUAUUGGUCAAUGGAGGAAACUCUGAACCAGCUAUGUCGCGUGUAAGGAUGACAGUCUUUUAGAUUGUAAACUACUUUUGCAUAGGAAUAAAAGUUACUACGUGAUAGUAGCCUGAAGGUACUGUGUGAAUAAGUGUCGGCUAAUUUCGUGCCAGCAGCCGCGGUAAUACGAAAGACACAAGCGUUAUCCGGAUUUAUUGGGUUUAAAGGGUGUGUAGGCUGUUUAUUAAGUCAGUAGUGAAAGCUUACAGCUUAACUGUAAAAUUGCUAUUGAUACUGAUAAUCUAGAGUAAGAUUGGAGCAUCUGGAAUGUAUGGUGUAGCGGUGAAAUGCAUAGAUAUCAUACAGAACACCAAUAGCGAAGGCAGGAUGCUAAAUCUUCACUGACGCUGAGGCACUAAAGCGUGGGGAGCAAACAGGAUUAGAUACCCUGGUAGUCCACUGCCCUAAACUAUGAUCACUAGCUAUUGGAAAAACUAUAUUCAGUGGCUAAGCCAAAGCGAUAAGUGAUCCACCUGGGAAGUACGAUCGCAAGAUUGAAACUCAAAGGAAUUGACGGGGUUUCGCACAAGCGGUGGAGCAUGUGGUUUAAUUCGAUGAUACGCGAGGAACCUUACCAAGGCUUAAAUGUAUUACGAAUAAGCUGGAAACAACUUAGUCUAUAAGACGUAAUACAAGGUGCUGCAUGGUUGUCUUCAGUUCGUGCUGUGAAGUGUUUGGUUAAGUCCUAUAACGAGCGCAACCCUUAUUGUUAGUUGCCAACGGGUAAAGCCGGGGACUCUAACAAAACUGCCGGUGCAAACCGUGAGGAAGGUGGGGAUAAUGUCAAAUCAUCAUGGCCUUUAUGCCUUGGGCUACACACGUGCUACAAUGGCUGAUACAAAGGGCAGCCACUGGGUGACCAGGAGCUAAUCUCUAAAACCAGUCUAAGUUCGGAUUGGAGUCUGCAAUUCGACUCUAUGAAGCUGGAAUCGCUAGUAAUCGUGCAUCAGCAAUGGCG
rnacentral:rRNA from 1 species